rnacentral:rRNA from 1 species
UACAGAGGUGGCAAGCGUUGUUCGGAAUUACUGGGCGUAAAGGGCGCGUAGGCGGCCUUCUAAGUCAGACGUGAAAUCCCCCGGCUUAACCUGGGAACUGCGUCUGAUACUGGAGGGCUUGAGUAUGGGAGAGGGAUGUAGAAUUCCAGGUGUAGCGGUGAAAUGCGUAGAUAUCUGGAGGAAUACCGGUGGCGAAGGCGGGCAUCCUGGACCAUUACUGACGCUGGAGGCGCGAAAAGCUAGGGGAGCAAACGGG